rnacentral:rRNA from 1 species
UACAGAGGAUGCAAGCGUUGUUCGGAAUCACUGGGCUUAAAGCGCGUGUAGGCGGCCGAGUAAGUGUACUGUGAAAUCCGGUGGCUCAACCACCGAACUGCAGGACAUACUGCUUGGCUUGAGGUCGGUAGAGGUGCCUGGAACUCUUGGUGGAGCGGUGAAAUGCGUAGAUAUCAAGAGGAACGCCUGUGGCGAAAGCGGGGCACUGGGCCGAAUCUGACGCUGAGACGCGAAAGCGUGGGGAGCAAACAGG